rnacentral:rRNA from 1 species
UGGGGAAUAUUGGACAAUGGGCGCAAGCCUGAUCCAGCCAUGCCGCGUGUGUGAAGAAGGCCUUUUGGUUGUAAAGCACUUUAAGCGAGGAGGAGGCUACUUGGAUUAAUACUCUAGGAUAGUGGACGUUACUCGCAGAAUAAGCACCGGCUAACUCUGUGCCAGCAGCCGCGGUAAUACAGAGGGUGCGAGCGUUACUCGGAUUUACUGGGCGUAAAGCGUGCGUAGGCGGCUUUUUAAGUCGGAUGUGAAAUCCCUGAGCUUAACUUAGGAAUUGCAUUCGAUACUGGGAAGCUAGAGUAUGGGAGAGGAUGGUAGAAUUCCAGGUGUAGCGGUGAAAUGCGUAGAGAUCUGGAGGAAUACCGAUGGCGAAGGCAGCCAUCUGGCCUAAUACUGAAGCUGAGGUACGAAAGCAUGGGGAGCAAACAGG